rnacentral:rRNA from 1 species
AGCACAUAAACGGCGAAACUGCGAAUGGCUCAUUAAAUCAGUUAUCGUAUAUUUGAUAGUACCUACUACAUGGAUAACCGUGGUAAUUCUAGAGCUAAUACAUGCUUAAAAUCCCGACUUCGGAAGGGAUGUAUUUAUUAGAUUAAAAACCAAUGCCCUUCGGGGCUCACUGGUGAUUCAUAAUAACUUCUCGAAUCGCAUGGCCUUUGUGCCGGCGAUGGUUCAUUCAAAUUUCUGCCCUAUCAACUUUCGACGGCUGGGUCUUGGCCAGCCGUGGUUACAACGGGUAACGGAGGGUUAGGGCUUGACCCCGGAGAAGGAGCCUGAGAAACGGCUACUACAUCCAAGGAAGGCAGCAGGCGCGCAAAUUACCCAAUCCCGACUCGGGGAGGUAGUGACAAUAAAUACUGAUACAGGGCUCUUUUGGGUCUUGUAAUUGGAAUGAGUACAAUUUAAAUCCCUUAACGAGGAACAAUUGGAGGGCAAGUCUGGUGCCAGCAGCCGCGGUAAUUCCAGCUCCAAUAGCGUAUAUUAAAGUUGUUGCAGUUAAAAAGCUCGUAGUUGAACCUUGGGCCUGGCUGGCCGGUCUGCCUCACCGCAUGCACUGGUCCGGCCGGGCCUUUCCCUCUGGGGAGCCGCAUGCCCUUCACUGGGUGUGUCGGGGAACCAGGACUUUUACUGUGAAAAAAUUAGAGUGUUCAAAGCAGGCAUAUGCUCGAAUACAUUAGCAUGGAAUAAUAGAAUAGGACGUCGCGGUUCUAUUUUGUUGGUUUCUAGGACCGCCGUAAUGAUUAAUAGGGACAGUCGGGGGCAUCAGUAUUCAAUCGUCAGAGGUGAAAUUCUUGGAUCGAUUGAAGACUAACUACUGCGAAAGCAUUUGCCAAGGAUGUUUUCAUUAAUCAGGAACGAAAGUUAGGGGAUCGAAAACGAUCAGAUACCGUUGUAGUCUUAACCAUAAACUAUGCCGACUAGGGAUCGGGCGGUGUUAUUUCUUGACCCGCUCGGCACCUUACACGAAAGUAAAGUUUUUGGGUCUGGGGA